rnacentral:lncRNA from 1 species
GAAUAAUACCCCAACACGUGCCUUACACAUGCCUUCACACUCCCCUUCCACUGACACAGAAGCUGUGGUCUGCAAGGUCUGCUUCUGCAAGUCCACAUCUUGGUGAAUUCAGCCCAGUUGAUCUCUCUUGCAUCAAAAUUAAAGUAGUUCUGUCCUCCCGUGACUUUUCUUUUUUCUUUUUUUUUCUUUUUUUCCCUUUUUUAUUUUUUUAUUUUCCCUUCAGGAGGAAGAAAAUCUGUCCUGAAGAUAUAUUUCCUUUUCUUUUGUCUUUCCAAAAUGCCCUGCCUCUCUGUUUGUUUUCUUAGUUGCAGAUGCAUAGGAUUUAAGAGCUCUCACCUCCCGCUCUGACACUGGUCCUGCAUGGUUCCUGCGCGGAUGAUGAAGCAUCCACCUCGGGUGCUCAGGUCACUCCGCCGCUCACUGGUGAGGUGCUGGAAGGCUGCUCUGUAUUCGGAAAUGCUGCAGGAACAAUCAGCUCCCCAGCCAGGUUCUGGCCAGCACCAGCACCAUCUGUUCCCAGAACCCGAAGGAGGUGAGGGUACCAUCUGCAGAGCAUCCCUGCCACCGAUACAAGUUGAGACAUCAAUCCUGCUCUGCCUCUCCGUGUUGGAUCUGGGUGUGAAGACAGCUGGUAGGUUUGCGUACGUCUCUGCUGGGUGCAUGGGCAGCUGUCACUGCCCAGGAACAGGCCUGUGGAAGGCUGUGAUAUUCCUUGCACGCUGGGCAGGGUCAGUUAGGAGAGCAAAUAAAACUCAAAGAUGUAUAAAAAUGGGAAAGAAAGCCCUUAGCACACAACAUUGAGAAGGUUUCACCAUUUCACAGAUCAGCAGUACUGACAUUUCCAUCUGAGCAAGGGGAUAGAGGAAGGUAUCUUCUGGGAAAAGAGAAGAAAAGCAUCUCCUUUUCAGUUAAGUUUACAAUGUGAGGGGUGAUGGAUGCCCUCUACAUCAGCCACACACAGAGCUGGUGGGUGGAAAACCUCCUGGACAGUCACAAGGACAAAAAAAGUGUAAGCUGGGCCACAGCAAACAGUCUCCACAUUAGCAUGUGGGGGUUUGCAGCCAUCAGAGCCGUGAGCUCCUGCAGGAGUGAGAGGGAGAGUGUUGCAGACUGGUUUUAAGAAGGAGCUUGAUGGAUUUGCAGUAGUCUCCUGAGUCUUUCCAGUCCUACGUUUCUAAGAAGAUACUGGGGGGGAAGGGGGAGGGAAAAAGAGCUAUAGGUGGGAUAACAGAAGUGCUAAGAAACAGAGAGCUCUCUUUGAAAAGAGGCAGUGAAAAAUUAGAAGUGUGGGAAGGGAGAAAUGGAAGGCAAUGGGAUAAAAUGAAAAAAAGAAAAGAGACUCCCCAAAGUACACCCGCCCUCUAUCAAAUAGUGCAGGGAAUGCAAAUCAGGCUUCGCUACUCCCCCUCCUCAUUAGACAGGGACUUCCAGUAACACUGAGAGGCAUAUUUAUCCCUUGGCAAUGCAGCACACAAGUAACCUGUGGGAAAUCACUGCCAUUAGGCAUCACCGAGCCAGGGCGUCUAGCAGGAAGGAUUAGAGCUGGAGAGGGCUAGCGAGAGCAUCUGUGGUUAUGUAUGGAUGGAUAAAAAUAAGCAUUAUAAACUCACAAGCUUCCAGGCACAGACAACCUCAAAGUCCUCAGGGCUAAGAAACUUCCCUUAUAAAUAGGUUAGUCCAUAACUCUCUGUGGCAUUAGCUACUGUCAGAGACAGGAUACUGGACUAGAUGGGCCCCUGGCAAUUCCUCUGGAGAAAAUAUGUUUCCAAAAUAAAGACCCUAAAAAAAUCCCUGUAACA